GUGCUCGCUUCGGCAGCACAUAUACUAAAAUUGGAACCAUA
rnacentral:snRNA from 1 species